AUAGCGUAUAUUAAAGUUGUUGCAGUUAAAAAGCUCGUAGUUGAACUUCAGACCUGGUUGGGCGGUCCGCUUAACGGCGUGUACUGUUCGACUGGGCCUUACUUCUUGGUGAGCUGGCGUGCCCUUUACUGGUGUGCGUCGGGGAACCAGGACUUUUACCUUGAGAAAAUUAGAGUGUUCAAAGCAGGCUUAUGCUCGAAUACAUUAGCAUGGAAUAAUAAAAUAGGACGUGCGGUUCUAUUUUGUUGGUUUCUAGAGUCGCCGUAAUGAUUAAUAGGGAUAGUUGGGGGCAUUAGUAUUCAGUUGCUAGAGGUGAAAUUCUUGGAUUUACUGAAGACUAACUACUG
rnacentral:rRNA from 1 species